UACGGGGGGGGCAAGCGUUGUUCGGAAUUACUGGGCGUAAAGCGCGCGUAGGCGGCUUGUUAAGUCAAAUGUGAAAUCCCCGAGCUUAACUUGGGCAUUGCAUUCGAUACUGGCAAGCUAGAGUAUGGGAGAGGAAGGUAGAAUUCCAGGUGUAGCGGUGAAAUGCGUAGAGAUCUGGAGGAAUACCGAUGGCGAAGGCAGCCUUCUGGCCUAAUACUGACGCUGAGGUGCGAAAGCAUGGGGAGCAAACAGG
rnacentral:rRNA from 1 species